GAUGAACGUUGGCGGCGUGCCUAAUACAUGCAAGUCGAACGGAGAUUGUAGCAAUACGGUCUCAGUGGCGAACGGGUGAGUAACGCGCUGGUGACCUGCCCCGAAGUGUGGAAUAACAGAUCGAAAGAGCUGCUAAUACCGCAUAAUAUCCAGAAGAUUAGAUGCUUUUGGAUUAAAGGAUUUAUUCGCUUCGGGAGGGGCCUGCGUCCCAUCAGCUAGUUGGUAAGGUAAAGGCUUACCAAGGCGAUGACGGGUAGGGGACCUGAGAGGGUGGCCCCCGACAAGUGGAACUAGAAACACGGUCCAUACACCUACGGGUGGCAGCAGUAGGGAAUAUUAGUAAUGGGCGAAAGCCUGAACUAGCAACGCCGCGUGUGCGAAGAAGGCCUUCGGGUUGUAAAGCACUUUUUGUAGAGGAUGAGGAAGGACGGUACGUCUCAGAAUAAGUCUCGGCUAACUACGUG
rnacentral:rRNA from 1 species